GAUGAACGCUAGCGGCAGGCUUAACACAUGCAAGUCGAGGGGUAUAGGUUUUCGGACCUAGAGACCGGCGCACGGGUGCGUAACGCGUAUGCAAUCUACCUUUCACAGAGGGAUAGCCCAGAGAAAUUUGGAUUAAUAACUCAUAGUAUAGCAGCUUCGCAUGAAACCACUAUUAAAGUAUCAACGGUGAAAGAUGAGCGUGCGUCCCAUUAGCUAGAUGGUAAGGUAACGGCUUACCAUGGCUACGAUGGGUACGGGUCCUUAGAGGGAGAUCCCCCACACUGGUACUGAGACACGGACCAGACUCCUACGGGAGGCAGCAGUGAGGAAUAUGGGUCAAUGGACGCAAGUCUGAACCAGCCAUGCCGCGUGCAGGAUGACGGUCCUAUGGAUUGUAAACUGCUUUUGUACGAGAAGAAACAACAUUACGUGUAAUGUCUUGACGGUAUCGUAAGAAUAAGGAUCGGCUAACUCCGUGCCAGCCGCCGCGGUAACAC
rnacentral:rRNA from 1 species